UGACGCCUGCUCUCGACUCUGCC
rnacentral:piRNA from 1 species